CAUGUCACUCAAACCAGCUGUAUUAAGGAAGGUGCAAGCUUUUGGGAUUUCUGUUUGGAUUUAGUUUAGGUUCAAAAGAGCACGCACAGAUCCUGAGUGUUGUCAAGCACCCGUGACUGGGAAACGGAGGCGUCCGAUCCGUAUUGGAGUCAAUUCGCCACUUAAUUGAACACAGCCUCGAAGGGAAGGGCCAUAUUUGUGGGCCUGUCUAACAAUUAAGAGUGACCACAUGGAAUGGGGGAUGAAAGGGUUAAAGAAGAACAAAUAUUGAACACAGCUUUUCUAUGAACAAACUGCAGGCAGCUGCUGCUUUGCAAGGGGAACUUCUUGGCUGCCAUUUCUGGAUGUCAAGGCUGCAGAUACACUGGUCAGGACCCUGGGUAGAGAGAGAUGCGUCAGAAUGCGGCUCCUUUCAGAAAGGCUUCUCCGGAGAAAAACCCUUUGAAAAGAUUCAGCACGUUGCCAUGGAGAACAUCCCACUGAAGGAAUGUAUAGAAGUAGCAGGGUUAACUGAGUGCCUUCCAUCUUCCCUCCAAGGGAUCUGCAAUGAGAUGGGAGAAGGCAACAGGCUGUGUGGGAACCACUGAAGCUGGGAUGGCAGGGAAAGAACAUCUUAGGCUAACUCUUCAAGCCUUGCUGUCACAUUUGCUUUUGAGUCUAUGGUUCCUUAUUAUUUUGGAAGGGUCUGAGAACCCACAGGGCACCCUGGGUCAUGACUCAUGUGACUGAGGAAGCACACAGAUCUGUGGAUCUCCAAGUCUAGAUGACAGCAAGCUAACAGGACACUGUUUAUGACAUAUAUAGCCCCCCCCCAACCCCUGCAGAUUUCAAAUAGGUUCUGACAAAGCUUUGUGGUAUCUGAAGGGUAGAUAGAGAAAAUAAGUGUAUCAUUUUGGUUUCUGUUUCUGCAUUACAGGUGUCAGCUGCCUACCAGUUGCUUUCAUCUCUAGAAAUCUGUGACUUGCAGUAUGACAAGAACAAAAGGUGACAAUACAAAGGACAAAGGGCAAGGAAUACAGACGGAGAAGCCGCUUAGAGUCUAGGAUGGCAGAGGUUCUCUUGAUCAUUUCAUUUUUGAGCGCUUGUAGAGCUUUGGUGUACCAGAGGUGCUUGAACAGCUUACCACACCACAGAUGAAUGGCCUUUGGAUUUCUCCUAAGAAAAUGUGGCUACCUGAAAUUCAACUCCAUUUUCUGGUCUUCAAUAUUUCUUUUGUGUUCAGUUUGCCAGCUGAGGAGAAGUGGCUAAGCAUAGCCUGUUACUGAUGCUAAAGCCCAAGUUCUGAACCUAACAACUCCAGCAACAUGAUCCUGUUUCAAGAGACAAAAAAGUGACUAAUGAAAGAAAACAAUUGAUGUGCUAUGUAGAGUUUAAAAGAAGGUAAAGAGAAUAAAUUAAAAGCAACAACUCU
rnacentral:lncRNA from 1 species